UCGGCGCGGGAGGCUCGGCGGGAGGGCUGAGAAACGCCGGUGAGGCGGAGUGAGGUUAUCCGCUGAAGGAACAGGGGACUUGGACUGCCAGAACACUGGGGCCUGCCACUCGGUUUUCUGAUGGGGAAUGCUGAAGUAAAGUGUCUUUUGGGUGACUUACCUUCUUGAUCGUGACCCUGAAGUCUACAAUGAAGCCCUGUGAGGGAAGGACACCGACUGGCCUGAUUAAUAGAGAGUCUUACGAGGCCACAGCCAGAG